GACGAACGCUGGCGGCGUGCCUAAUACAUGCGAGUAGAACGCACAGUUUAUACCGUAGCUUGCUACACCAUAGACUGUGAGUUGCGAACGGGUGAGUAACGCGUAGGUAACCUGCCUGGUAGCGGGGGGUAACUAUUGGAAACGAUAGCUAAUACCGCAUAAUAUUAAUUAUUGCAUGAUAAUUGAUUGAAAGAUGCAACUGCAUCACUACCAGAUGGACCUGCGUUGUAUUAGCUAGUAGGUGAGGUAACGGCUCACCUAGGCGACGAUACAUAGCCGACCUGAGAGGGUGAUCGGCCACACUGGGACUGAGACACGGCCCAGACUCCUACGGGAGGCAGCAGUAGGGAAUCUUCGGCAAUGGACGAAAGUCUGACCGAGCAACGCCGCGUGAGUGAAGAAGGUUUUCGGAUCGUAAAGCUCUGUUGUAAGAGAAGAACGGGUGUGAGAGUGGAAAGUUCACACUGUGACGGUAUCUUACCAGAAAGGGACGGCUAACUACGUG
rnacentral:rRNA from 1 species